UACGUAGGGCGCAAGCGUUGUCCGGAAUUAUUGGGCGUAAAGAGCUCGUAGGCGGUUUGUCGCGUCUGCUGUGAAAACCUAAGGCCGUCAACCUUGGGCUUGCAGUGGGGUACGGGCAGACUAGAGGUGCGGUAGGGGUGACUGGAAUUCCGUGGUGAUAGCGGUGGAAUGCGCAGAUAUCAGGAGGAACACCGAGUGGC
rnacentral:rRNA from 1 species